rnacentral:rRNA from 1 species
GAUGAACGCUGGCGGCGUGCCUAAUACAUGCAAGUCGAGCGAACGGACGAGAAGCUUGCUUCUCUGAUGUUAGCGGCGGACGGGUGAGUAACACGUGGAUAACCUACCUAUAAGACUGGGAUAACUUCGGGAAACCGGAGCUAAUACCGGAUAAUAUUUUGAACCGCAUGGUUCAAAAGUGAAAGACGGUCUUGCUGUCACUUAUAGAUGGAUCCGCGCUGCAUUAGCUAGUUGGUAAGGUAACGGCUUACCAAGGCAACGAUGCAUAGCCGACCUGAGAGGGUGAUCGGCCACACUGGAACUGAGACACGGUCCAGACUCCUACGGGAGGCAGCAGUAGGGAAUCUUCCGCAAUGGGCGAAAGCCUGACGGAGCAACGCCGCGUGAGUGAUGAAGGUCUUCGGAUCGUAAAACUCUGUUAUUAGGGAAGAACAUAUGUGUAAGUAACUGUGCACAUCUUGACGGUACCUAAUCAGAAAGCCACGGCUAACUACGUGCCAGCAGCCGCGGUAAUACGUAGGUGGCAAGCGUUAUCCGGAAUUAUUGGGCGUAAAGCGCGCGUAGGCGGUUUUUUAAGUCUGAUGUGAAAGCCCACGGCUCAACCGUGGAGGGUCAUUGGAAACUGGAAAACUUGAGUGCAGAAGAGGAAAGUGGAAUUCCAUGUGUAGCGGUGAAAUGCGCAGAGAUAUGGAGGAACACCAGUGGCGAAGGCGACUUUCUGGUCUGUAACUGACGCUGAUGUGCGAAAGCGUGGGGAUCAAACAGGAUUAGAUACCCUGGUAGUCCACGCCGUAAACGAUGAGUGCUAAGUGUUAGGGGGGUUCCGCCCCUUAGUGCUGCAGCUAACGCAUUAAGCACUCCGCCUGGGGAGUACGACCGCAAGGUUGAAACUCAAAGGAAUUGACGGGGACCCGCACAAGCGGUGGAGCAUGUGGUUUAAUUCGAAGCAACGCGAAGAACCUUACCAAAUCUUGACAUCCUUUGACAACUCUAGAGAUAGAGCUUUCCCCUUCGGGGGACAAAGUGACAGGUGGUGCAUGGUUGUCGUCAGCUCGUGUCGUGAGAUGUUGGGUUAAGUCCCGCAACGAGCGCAACCCUUAAGCUUAGUUGCCAUCAUUAAGUUGGGCACUCUAAGUUGACUGCCGGUGACAAACCGGAGGAAGGUGGGGAUGACGUCAAAUCAUCAUGCCCCUUAUGAUUUGGGCUACACACGUGCUACAAUGGACAAUACAAAGGGUAGCGAAACCGCGAGGUCAAGCAAAUCCCAUAAAGUUGUUCUCAGUUCGGGUUGUAGUCUGCAACUCGACUACAUGAAGCUGGAAUCGCUAGUAAUCGUAGAUCAGCAUGCUACGGUGAAUACGUUCCCGGGUCU